GAUGAACGCUAGCUACAGGCUUAACACAUACAAGCCGAGGGGCAGCGGUAUCGAAAGCUUGCUUUCGGUAGCCGGCGACCGGCGCACGGGUGAGUAACGCGUAUCGAACCUGCCUCAUACUCGGGAAUAGCCUUGCGAAAGUAAGAUUAAUGCCCGGUGUUUUCAGAGUCCCGCAUGAGGCUUUGAACAAAGAUUUAUCGGUAUGAGAUGGCGAUGCGUCCCAUUAGCUUGUUGGCGGGGUAACGGCCCACCAAGGCAUCGAUGGGUAGGGGUUCUGAGAGGAAGGUCCCCCACAUUGGAACUGAGACACGGUCCAAACUCCUACGGGAGGCAGCAGUGAGGAAUAUUGGUCGAUGGGCGGAAGCCUGAACCAGCCAAGUAGCGUGCAGGAAGACGGCCCUCCGGGUUGUAAACUGCUUUUAGUUGGGAAUAAAACGGGGCUCGUGAGCCCCCUUGCAUGUACCAUCAGAAAAAGGACCGGCUAAUUCCGUGCCAGCCGCCGCGGUAA
rnacentral:rRNA from 1 species